GGGUGAGUAACGCGUAUCCAACCUGCCCACCACUUGGGGAUAACCUUGCGAAAGUAAGACUAAUACCCAAUGAUAUCUCUAGAAGGCAUCUGAAAGAGAUUAAAGAUUUAUCGGUGAUGGAUGGGGAUGCGUCUGAUUAGCUUGUUGGCGGGGUAACGGCCCACCAAGGCAACGAUCAGUAGGGGUUCUGAGAGGAAGGUCCCCCACAUUGGAACUGAGACACGGUCCAAACUCCUACGGGAGGCAGCAGUGAGGAAUAUUGGUCAAUGGACGAGAGUCUGAACCAGCCAAGUAGCGUGCAGGAUGACGGCCCUAUGGGUUGUAAACUGCUUUUAUAAGGGAAUAAAGUGAGUCUCGUGAGACUUUUUGCAUGUACCUUAUGAAUAAGGACCGGCUAAUUCCGUGCCAGCAGCCGCGGUAAUACGGAAGGUCCGGGCGUUAUCCGGAUUUAUUGGGUUUAAAGGGAGCGUAGGCCGGAGAUUAAGCGUGUUGUGAAAUGUAGAUGCUCAACAUCUGAACUGCAGCGCGAACUGGUUUCCUUGAGUACGCACAAAGUGGGCGGAAUUCGUGGUGUAGCGGUGAAAUGCUUAGAUAUCACGAAGAACUCCGAUUGCGAAGGCAGCUCACUGGAGCGCAACUGACGCUGAAGCUCGAAAGUGCGGGUAUCGAACAGGAUUAGAUACCCUGGUAGUCCGCACGGUAAACGAUGGAUGCCCGCUGUUGGUCUGAAUAGGUCAGCG
rnacentral:rRNA from 1 species